AAAGAAAUGUAACAAAAAAAAGUGAUCACUCCUGAGAUUUUCUCAUGCACCGUAGUAGGGUAAAUGCUGGCAUAUUUGGCUUUCUGGGAUAUCAUCAAGGAAAGCAAAGCUGCUCAUUCCAAAAGCACAAGGAGAAUGAUCAGCUGUGAUGUGGCUAGACUGUGUGAAGAAUGAAGAAGGGUAUGAAACUUUUCCUAGAUGAAAAAUAGGUCUUCAACAUGAAACAGGGACAAAUAUGGCCACAAGAUUUGAAAAUUGUAGAGAUUUAUUAAAUUAUGUGUGGCAUAUAAAAAGUGAUUAGUUUCUGUUUCUAGUAACAUAUUCUUCUAAUACUAUGGGCAUUAAAGGAAAAAAUUAGAUUCAAAACAAAUGAAAAGUGUUCCUUCACACAGUACAAAAUUAUAUUGUAGAAUUGCUCUUUUCUGUAUCUCAAAACCAGUUGAUCAAAUUGAUAUUCCAAG
rnacentral:lncRNA from 1 species